rnacentral:rRNA from 1 species
UACGAGCGGCCCAAACGUUAUUCGGAAUUACUGGGCUUAAAGAGUUCGUAGGCGGCAUUGCAAGUAGGGCGUGAAAGCCCUCGGCUCAACCGAGGAAUUGCGCUCUAAACUGCAGUGCUUGAGGAACCUAGAGGUGAGCAGAACAGAUGGUGGAGCGGUGAAAUGCGUUGAUAUCAUCUGGAAUACCGGAGGCGAAGGCGGCUCACUGGGAGUUUUCUGACGCUGAGGAACGAAAGCCAGGGUAGCGAACGGG